rnacentral:ncRNA from 2 species
AACGUGUCGCGAUGGAUGACUUGGCUUC